rnacentral:pre_miRNA from 12 species
AGUGCAAAAAAUCCCAAAAAAUCUCCCAUUUGGUUUAGCAUCAACUUAGCCUAACUCGCACACGUCCUAAGUUGAUGCUAAACCAAAUGUGCGUUUUUUUGGGAUUUUUUGCAC